GAUGAACGCUGGCGGCGUGCUUAACACAUGCAAGUCGAACGAUGAAGCCCAGCUUGCUGGGUGGAUUAGUGGCGAACGGGUGAGUAACACGUGAGUAACCUGCCCUUGACUCUGGGAUAAGCCUGGGAAACUGGGUCUAAUACUGGAUAUGACUUCUCAUCGCAUGGUGGGGGGUGCAAAGAUUUAUUGGUCUUGGAUGGACUCGCGGCCUAUCAGCUUGUUGGUGAGGUAAUGGCUCACCAAGGCGACGACGGGUAGCCGGCCUGAGAGGGUGACCGGCCACACUGGGACUGAGACACGGCCCAGACUCCUACGGGAGGCAGCAGUGGGGAAUAUUGCACAAUGGGCGCAAGCCUGAUGCAGCGACGCCGCGUGAGGGAUGACGGCCUUCGGGUUGUAAACCUCUUUCAGUAGGGAAGAAGCGAGAGUGACGGUACCUGCAGAAGAAGCGCCGGCUAACUACGUG
rnacentral:rRNA from 1 species